rnacentral:rRNA from 1 species
GACGAACGCUGACGGCGUGCUUAACACAUGCAAGUCGAACGGAAAGGCCCUGCUUUUGUGGGGUGCUCGAGUGGCGAACGGGUGAGUAACACGUGAGUAACCUGCCCUUGACUUUGGGAUAACUUCAGGAAACUGGGGCUAAUACCGGAUAGGAGCUCCUGCUGCAUGGUGGGGGUUGGAAAGUUUGGGCGGUUGGGGAUGGACUCGCGGCUUAUCAGCUUGUUGGUGGGGUAGUGGCUUACCGAGGCUUUGACGGGUAGCCGGCCUGAGAGGGUGACCGGCCACAUUGGGACUGAGAUACGGCCCAGACUCCUACGGGAGGCAGCAGUGGGGAAUAUUGCACAAUGGGCGGAAGCCUGAUGCAGCAACGCCGCGUGCGGGAUGACGGCCUUCGGGUUGUAAACCGCUUUCGCCUGUGACGAAGCGUGAGUGACGGUAAUGGGUAAAGAAGCACCGGCUAACUACGUG